CCCUCGGGAAACUGAGGUUAAUAUCUGAUAGGAGAUUUAUACUGGAAAGAUUAAUCUUUAAAAUUCGAGCCUAAGGAUGGGGCUGCGGUGGAUUAGGUUGUUGGCGGGGUAAUAGCCCACCAAGCCUUUGAUCCAUAGGGGCUCUUAGCGGAGAAGCCCCGAGAGGGAAUCUGAGACACUAUUCCCAGCCCUACGGGGUGCAGCAGUUAGGAAUAUUCUGCAAUGCGCGUAAGCGUGACAGAUUGAGUCAGAGUGCGCUUCAAUUUGGAGUGCUUUUGCUAAAUGUAAAAAGUUUGGCGAAUAAGGACUGGGUAAGACGAGUGCCAGCCGCCGCGGUAAUACUCGCGGUCCAAGUCGCAGCCAUUUUUAUUGGGUCUAAAACAUCCGUAGCUUGCUUGGUGAGUUCCUUGUGAAAUUCUAUAUCUCAAAUAUGGAGCGUGCAGGGAGUACUGCCAAGCUAGAGACUGGAAGACGUAACGAGUACGUUUGGAGUAGCGGUAAAAUGUGUUAAUCCCGGACGGACUAACAAUAGCGAAGGCACGUUACGAGGACAGUUCUGACAGUAAGGGAUGAAGGCUAGGGGCGCAAAACGGAUUAGAUACCCGUGUAGUCCUAGCAGUAAACACUGCACACUAAACAUUAGUACCUCCUCGAGAGGUAUUGGUGCUGAAGGGAAGCCGAAGAGUGUGCUACCUGGGAAGUAUAGUCGCAAGGCCGAAACUUAAAGGAAUUG
rnacentral:rRNA from 1 species